rnacentral:tRNA from 1 species
ACUUAUAUAAUAUAACAAAUUAUAUUUGACUUCCAAUCAAAAAAUCUAUGCCCUAGUAUAAGUA